AAUUUGAAAUGUUUUUUAUUUUUAUAAGCUUAUAUUAAACACAUGCUUCUAGCGUUACAUCAGGCUUCAAAUGAUAUAAUAAUACAUUCCAGUUGAUAAUAGUUAUAACUUAUAGAUGUUUUUUUGCAAGUUUAAGUAAUUCCUAUUAUAUAACUUUAUCAACAUUAACAAUUGAUUGAUUAAUGAUUGAGACAAGUUAAACAGCUCGCCAUUGUGAAUGUAAUUAAAUCAAAACGAGCACUUUUCAUCAACGAGCAAAGAACUGUUUAAAAUCGACUGUUUCGACCUUUAAAAAUUAAUGGUCUAAGUACUUUGAUAACUUCAAUUGAUUGACUUCACUGCGGUACUCGGAACAAAAGACAGUCAAUUAUGUUUGAGGCACGUGUAACAUCUCAGUGAUCCAAAUGUUUUGAGUUUUCUUGAGUGCUAAUUCCGCCAAUAUUUGUAUUCAAACAACUCGACACGUGUUUCGUAUCUACACAAGGCAAAUUUGGUAUCUUCGCCAUUGUUACGUAUCUCUUCCUGGGGAAAUACGUCACAACGGCCGACCAAUCACAGCGCGCCAACUCAUGUGACGAGGUUAUAGAAGAGCAGUUUCCGGCUCAUUCAAUUCAGUAAUGGAGCGCGAUCCCAGUAUCUGCGUGGCAUCGCACCAUACCAUUGACGACCGCCGGACAUAAGAGGACUACCACGUGACCCAGUCUCCUAGGACACGACUGCUUCCUCGCCGCUGGCUGAUGGGCGUAAACCGGUACACUUUUGACGGGCUCGACCUCGCUGAGCGGUGGGCGCAAGUCAACCACGGACCUACCUUCGAUCGCACUGCAGCAGGAUACCACCGGAUACAAUACCACGGACGAACCGGUCCCGACCAGAGACCCGCCUGUAGUGCAGGCGGCGAAGACAUCACUGAACGGGCUAUCGCCCCGUUUAGCGAGUCAAUGUCUCCUGGGGAUGGCUCGUGUAUUGGCGGAAUUGACACUCAAGAAAACUCAAAACAUUUGGAUGAUUAUAGAUUCCGCAAAGUAACGCCUAAUUCAAUAUCGCGUUCAUAAUAUCUUUUGGUGACAAUUAAAUACAUUGACAUAACCAGCAGUAUACCCCCAUUAUUCAUUUUUAAGACAUAUACUUCAUAUUUAUAUGUUCAGGGACUUCACUUAUUUUGUAAACUUUAGAUUAUACAUUUUGCUAUGACUGUCUAAGACUACGUCACAAAAUCUACUCCUUACCGGUUCGUGUGUAGGUACCUAUUUCGUUGGCAACAGUUUUGUCUACCCGAAUACUGUGAGUCUUCGACACUCGGCGGCAUUAAAGAUUCCAUCUCAAUGAAUAAGUAAAAACCAUUUCGACAAAGACUGUUCGAAGCUUAAGGGCGAGAUACAUUUUUCUUGUUAAAAAUCAACAAAAACAACUUGCUCAACUAUGUCAUAUACAAUCCCGGAGUUCCAGUAGGGUAUAAAAGAGUUUACGACGUGGCAUUGAUCCUUAAAAUUAGUAAGUUAAAUCGAUAAAAAGUAGAUUUUGUCCUCUAUAUGGUUUCCUUACUUGAACUGUUUCGUACACAAACAUAUCAAAAUGAAUUUUCUAUCUAUCGUUAAUUUUCUUGAAACGUUGACGAUAUAUUUUUCAAUAAUAAUAAUACUUAUACAUAAUUUCUUACGUCCUCUAUAUCAUAUUUUUUUAAAUAAACUAUGAAUUUUAACGAAUUUCCUACUAAGACUUAAUUGUAAAUAUUGUAGCACUAUUCAGGUGCAUUACAUAUUUACUAAAAAUGGCUGUCGUUGUAUAAGGAUUAAUUCCCAUACAAUAUGAUGAAACCACAGAGUAAAUUAUAUUAUUUCAAUUGUUUUUUUUUUGCGUCACUAUAUUGAAAAUGUGUGGUGCAUGGAUAAAGAAAAGCGGCAGUAUUUUAUUUACUUCCAAUUGAAGCAUUAAAGAGUAAGCACCAAAAAUUUAUCAUUCAACUUCAAGUACUUUGUGAGUAGUAAAUGGAAUGGCGUUAUUUUUUUAUAUUGCCAGGUUUUUAAAACCAGCAAAUUUCAUCCAAAAAGUAAAGUCUAAAUUAUGUUUUCUAAAGUAAAAUUUAAAUUAAAGCCAACAUUUAAAAGUCAUUCCAAUGGUUAAUUGUUAAUUUUCAUUUGGCUUAUAAUAAGAAGAAGCACAUUAGUCUCAAAUUUUGUGAUGGUUAAUAUCGGUAUGGCAGUAGCUAUUAAAUACAAUAAUCGUGGUAGAUAAGUAGCUUCUUAGUAUUAGUAUUAUAACUAGGUCUUAUAACCUUUACAGCAUGACUGGUGACACACUAACAAUACUUAAGGAGGGUACUUAGUACGUGAUAAAUCAGUACAAUACGUGACUCAUUGGUUAGUUAAGCGCAAGCGCCAAGAGGUCCGUGGACCCGCCUUCCCACUUCCAACUUCCGCGCAACGCGAUUAGCUUGUAAGCGAUGUGUCCACUUAGUGACCAUGCUUUGCGUUUUUUUUUAUAACAAUCGCCAAUAUUUGAGGACGUGAUCGGCCUUGAGUAUCGUUAGUAUGUCUAACCAGUUAUGUCGAAUAUUUAAAGGACUUAAUGUUUGAUGUUUUUAUUCGAUGUGAUCUAUUUAUUGGCCUUAGAUUAAGUAUUUACAUAAUAUCGUUGUUGUUUAGUAAUAAGCUAAUUUAAGAAUUCAAACAGUUCACUACACAGCUUGGCGCUACAAUGGCGACAUUAAAUAAACACACGGGUAGAGCAACCAGUGGAAGGCUCCUUUGCAGCGGAUGCCGGCUAGAUUAUGGGUACCACAACGGCGCCCAUUUCUGCCGUGAAGCAGUAAUGUUUAAGCAUUAUUGUGUUUCGGUCUGAAGGGCGCCGUAGCUAGUUAAAUUGCUGGGCAAACGAGACUUGACAUCUUAUGUCUCAAGGAGACGAGCGCAAUUGUGGUGCCGAUAAGAUUUUUUUGAGAUUUUCAAGAAACCUCAGCGGCACUACAUUUAAUGGGCAGGGCGUAUCAGUAACCAUCAGAUGAACGUCCUCCAUGUCUCGUCCGUUAUUGUCAUAAAAAACCGUAAUCAUAAAAAAAUAUAUUAAAAAUUAAAGUAAAUGCAUGAAAUUUUCAAACAAACAAAAUAUACAUUUACCCCCUUAUUCAUAAUGGUCCGCUAACUUUAAACAGCCGCUAAGGAGCGUUUUUUCUCAUUCUGACUUAGGUCAAUACAAGAAGGCAGAGUGAGAAUUAGCAUAGCUGUAAGUUAGCAGACUAUUAUGAAUAAGGGGGUUAGAAACAAAAUUAUAAUAACCUUUUCGUGGGUGCUAUUCACCUACGACUUCUGACGGCUACGGCGCGGCGUAGAAGAAGUAGGUGUUAGUACGCUAGCUCGCGGACACUUUAUUACUUACAGAAUGUUCCGAAAUUAUGUUAUGGAAAAUUUAUUUAUUUUGGUGAAUUAUGCAUUUUCAUUUUUUAUUUUUUUUAUGAUUAGGGUUAGAUAGCUCGUACCCGUGUGUUUAUUUAAUGUCGCCAUUGUAGCUCAACACUGUAUACGAAUAGAACUUUAAAUUUCAUAAAACGGACUUGUGGUAAUCUUUUGGCCCAGCUAAAAUAUGAGAACAGAGUAAUGAGAUUAUGAAAUAAAAAGUUUUAUUCGUAGGAAUUUGUUUACAUUUUGUGAUCCAAUAUUAUUUUAUAUUAUGAUUUUAAUGUACUUAAAUCUCUUAAAUCUAAACUUUUAAAAUUCUUUAACUUGAUCAGGACGUCUAUCAAGUCUAAUUUUUGUGUAAUGUUUCAAAGUAAAGUAAUAUUGAGGUCUUUAAGCUCUGCACAUUUGUAUUAAAUCUACCGUUUGAUCACAGACUGACCUUACUCUUAAGUCUUGACCACAGAGUACAUUUUAUUGUAAUAUGUGUCUUGAUUGUGCUGUAACACGCGCUCGCGACUGUGGUGUUUCGCGUGAGAGUAAGACGAAACGGUAGACAGAGACAGAUCCGAUAUACUUGAUUUAUAACCCUUCUCUUAUCAUUCAUGUAAUGGACUUAAGAAUAGUUAUGUGUGCAUUUAGAUUAAAGCCAUAAUGUUGUAUUUGGCCCAUAAAUGUUGUGAUUGAAUAUAAUCAUAGGUUAAUUAUUAUAAGUAUAUUAUUAUUACAAUUACUACAUUAUUACGCGCCGUUUGGAUAAUGAUGUUGGAAAUAAAGAAUGGGAUUAUAUAUAACAAGUUCUGUGCCGAAAUUACUUUCUGCAACAGAGCGACACCUAUUGUUUGCUUAAGGUAUUUUCGGGGGUUGUAAAUUUAGAUGCCAAUAGUGUGUUAAUCUCAGAGACGGUGGGCAGGUGUGAGUUAGAUGGCAAUAUUCUGAGAGCGAGACGAAUCGCAGGCAACGUUAUUUAUUAAUCCCAUUCUUUAUCUGCGCGGGUAGUACUUAUUAUCGUAGGCAAUGUCAGUGGCUCUUAAGGUUGUAGCUUUAAGCCUGGCACGUUAUAUCUAACUGGUCGUUGCGGCAGAAAAUACCAUCUAGUCCCAAUCCAAUUCCAUCCAACACAAUCAUUGCCGCAUUAUUAUUACGUGAAGCACCACAUGUGAGCACAUUGCUUAGCGAUUGUUGACGGACGUAAUAUCUGUCAUCAGAUAAGUAACUACAUAAUAAUGUAUUAAUUUUAAUAAGAGUUUGAUUCAAACUUUCGUAAUACUAUGCCCACGUCGCUGCCAAUUUGGCAUAUUAACAUCAUGCGUCAGGUUUACGCGUUAAGAACAUUAUGCUUUUUAGAAUCUGAGUGGCAUUGCAAUAUACAGGAUGUAUUACUUUUCACCAGGUGCAAUAAGCGCCUGUACAAAGUUAAUAAUAUGUCGUGUAUACAUUAAUAACUAAUUGAAAUGAGGGUCAGCAUAACUUAUAAAAUCUAAAUGGCAUUAAUACCACUUAGUGACUAUGUCGGACAUAAUAUUAUGAAAGUAUAUUGUAAUCAGUUACAUCAAUAACUUAAUUAGAAAUAGCUGAUGUAAGUAGGCCCCUGCAAGGAUCUUGAGCAGUGAUUGAAAAAUUAAUGUGAUUCAUGUGCACUGUCAUGUUUAUUGUCCAACUCCCGAGGAAGUUAACUCUAAAAUCUAUCUUUAUAACACUCACAGAUUGGUACACAGGCGGAAUUUUAUCAAUGUUGACUAAUGUCAGCAGAAUAAUAGUUGCGUAAGAAAAAUUAAAACAACAAUAAAAAUAUAAGGAAACAAUUAAACUACGUUACCCUAACGCGUAAACAGGGCGAAUCCCAACAGUUUUGCUAACGGUACUAUAGUCAUUAAUACUAUGAUGGCCUGUCCCUCAGUCCAUUUGAUUACAAUACAUAUUGUUGAACACUGAAAUUUUACCGAACAGCAAAGUAGUAUGCGGUAUAACCCGUUACUUCUUCCAAAUUGGAAGCCAGUUCAGUAAACCAGUUUCGACAUUUAAAUAGGUUUCAAACUGAGUAUACCCCCGUGAGGGGGACGUAAGUCUUUUGCCACCCAGAUCCUAUUUUCAACUUCUGCGCAUUCAGCGGAGGCGCUCAAGAUUCUUGCCGGGGAUACAAUAUUUAACCCAUUGUUAGUAAGUAGAAUAAAAAUGCAUUUUACAAAGUUGCUAAUGAAAUGGAGACUGAAUUCCGUCAGAACAAUGUUCUUCAGGGAAGGUCCACAAGGUUUGGAAACAACAGAUUUCGCAUUUGAAGUUAUUACAAAAUUUACACAAUUAUUUCUAUUAGUAGCUUUACAUAAUAACAACUCUACACUGCGCUCGUGCACUGGCGGGCAGCGGUAGUGCGGAUAGUGAGUGCGGAUUGGAAGUCUGAUAUUAUAAUAAUAAUAAUUGGAUUAGCAUCUCCCUGCAGGCGCGCGCGCGUAGAGUUGAUAUCAUUUAGAGUUAGUUACCAAUGUCAAUGUUUUAUUUAUAUGGAUUUGGCCAAGUAUAACUAUUGUGAAUGAGUAGUAAUUUUGUAAAAUGCAAGCAUAUAAAAUUAAGUAAUAUUAUAUUUAACCAAUUAUAAUGUAAUACGGUGUGGUGAGGUUUGGGGACGAAAUUUUGAAACUGAAAGUUUUUUUUUUAAUAAAUGUCGUUCGAAAA